ensembl:rRNA 5S_rRNA 5S ribosomal RNA
GUCAGCAUCCACACCACCUGUAGCUCAGGCCAGGUAAUUCAUCUGAAGCAGCUUUGGGCCUGGCCAGUACUUGGAUGGGAGACCAACUAGGAAAGCUGGGCUACUGCUGGAA